rnacentral:rRNA from 1 species
CCUACGGGUGACAGCAGUGAGGAAUAUUGGUCAAUGGGCGCAAGCCUGAACCAGCCAAGUAGCGUGAAGGAUGACGGCCCUACGGGUUGUAAACUGCUUUUAUAAAGGAAGAAAGUGAGGCACGUGUACGGCUUUGUAUGUAACGUAUGAAUAAGGAUCGGCUAACGCCGUGCCAGCAGCCGCGGUAAUACGGAGGGUCCGAGCGUUAUCCGGAUUUAUUGGGUUUAAAGGGAGCGUAGGAGGUAUGUUAAGGCCGCUGUGAAAGUUCGCGGCUCCACCGGAACAUUGCACGUGUUACUGGCAGUCUUGCGUUCGUUUCAGGCAGGCUGACUUCGUCGUGUAGCGGU